GCUUCAUCGCGGCGGUGGCCGGUCGCGCGGCUGUCGGCCGCGGACGGACGGGUUCGAAUCCGGCAGGAAGCG
rnacentral:tRNA from 1 species